rnacentral:rRNA from 1 species
UAUGUGAUCGUCUCUCGCAUAUCAAUAAGCGGAGGAAAAGAAACUAACAAGGAUUCCCCUAGUAACGGCGAGUGAAGCGGGAAGAGCUCAAAUUUGAAAUCUUAAAGGGUUUCCCUUUACGAAUUGUAGUUUAAAGAAGUGUUUUCUGUUGAGGUUUUGGUAAAAGUUCUUUGGAAUAGGACAUCAUAGAGGGUGAGAAUCCCGUAUUUGACCUUUACUUUCAACUUUGUGAUACACUUUCAAAGAGUCGGAUUGUUUGGGAAUGCAGUCCAAAAUGGGUGGUAAAUUUCAUCUAGAGCUAAAUAUUGGCGAGAGACCGAUAGCGAACAAGUACCGUGAGGGAAAGAUGGAAAGAACUUUGAAAAGAGAGUUAAACAGUACGUGAAAUUGUCAAAAGGGAAGCGUUUGACACCAGUGUUGUUUUUCUGAAAAUCAAUUAAAGAACUGUUUAUGCUAAGCUGUUUAGGACUUUAUCAGCUAUACUGUUUAGUUUUGAGCUUUUCUUUAAUGCACUUUUCAGUUAACAAGUCAACAUCAAUUUCUUUUGCUGUAAAAAAGCUUGAGGAAGGUGGCUUGAGAUUCGUCUUAAGUGUUUAUAGCCUCUUGCCUAUGCAGUCGGAGAGAUUGAGGUCUGCAGCGUAGAUCCUUCGGGGCUAAAUGCAUUUGUGCUAAGUUAUAGCAUUUUAUAGACAACUUGUUGACUAUGAUUUGUCUUGUAGCUUACUCGCUUAUGUUAUUUUACCUACGCUUAGGAUGUUGAUAUGCAUGACUGAUAU